rnacentral:misc_RNA from 1 species
GAUGAAGAACGUAGCGAACUGCGAUAAGUAAUGUGAAUUGCAGAAUUCAGUGAAUCAUCGAGUCUUUGAACGCACAUUGCGCCCCCUGGCAUUCCGGGGGGCAUGCCUGUCCGAGCGUCAUUGCUGCCCUUCAAGCCCGGCUUGUGUGUUGGGUCGUCGUCCCCCCCGGGGGACGGGCCCGAAAGGCAGCGGCGGCACCGCGUCCGGUCCUCGAGCGUAUGGGGCUUUGUCACCCGCUCGAUUAGGGCCGGCCGGGCGCCAGCCGGCGUCUCCAACCUUCUAUUUUACCAGGUUGACCUCGGAUCAGGUAGGGAUACCCGCUGAACUUAAGCAUAUCAAUAAGCGGACGA